CUUCAAAGUGCCUGCGAGGCAAAAGGAGGUUGGGGGGAUUUUUAUUUUAGCACGUCAGAUGCUGGACGGCUGCACGCCAGCCAGCCGUCAAUGUGGAAUGAAGAGAAGGGGAGCAUUUCGGAGGGAGGCGUUCAAAGAGCCAUGUACGCAAUGCCACGACCAAAAGGACUAUCGCCGAUAUCAGAGUAAGGACCUAAUAAGACUAUUCGAAGGACAAAAGUGCAAAGUUAGAGCAUUCAAAGAACAUAAAGAGGCAUCAGGUUAGUGGAGAAAUUCAUGGAACACAUGUGUCUCAAAGCUUGCGUGAGACUCUGGUUUAAUAUUUACAUAAAGUGUAAAAGUUUAAUAGAAACACUUGUGCACAUAAGAACAGAAGCAUUUUAUGGUAAUGAAACAUGCCAUUUUUAGACGUGUGUAAGAAUUGCACUAGUGUAGCAAUGCAGCAUCAUAAACUUGUGGCAUUUAGAUAUACUACCACCUGUGCAGGAAUCCCCAAGCGCUCAGAUUAUUUUGCAAAACUGUUUUCCAUGAAUUUUUUUAGUCGUGUUUCUAUAAAGGUCCUGCUCUUGGUGCUUGGUCUUCCCAUGCGAGCCAGCGACCCAAGCGUGAUCUUUGGAGAACCCGAACCCCCCCUCCUUGACCUCCGACCUUCACGUUUGGAGGGGAGAGGGCCGCUAAUAACAGCAGCCAUGCCCUGCGGGGUAAUGUACACACUACCCUCCCUCCCAAAGGUGGGCUCAGUGCUCCCCAAACAGCACACAUCUGCACCCCUUAGAACGUCAAGCUCAUGGAAGACUUGAAGCCUUUGACUUUGUUUGAUAUGCAUAAAAGUACUGACGAUUCUUAAACACAUGUUCGGUGUUGAAAGUUGCAGGAACUAUCCCUGGGUCUACAAGCACACCAUGAACGAACAUAGAUGCAUUAAGCAGGGCAUGUGUGUGUCUCCGUGUCAGUGAAAGUGGACACGGGCGGAUAUGCGGUACACGCAGUGCAUUAUGCUAUGCUGCGGUGCGGGCAUAUCGCUCAAACGAGGGAAAGAGUCAGCAUUUGGGCGAGAAGGUGCUGAAUCAUUUUACCAGAAAGUGAGGUCACUGGCAUCCCUCACACUGUGACUGGAAGCGACCGUUUGUCAUCCGAGCGAGCGAUCGCUAAAGAAACAUGAGCCAAGCAAAGACAAUGAGUGUUUCCACAAGCCUGCUUCGAGAAGCCUGGCCUUCCUGUGGCUGACAUAUCUGUCAUGUGACACGUAAAGUCUGCAGGCGACAGAGGAGACGAGCGCCGUGAUGGCCGAGUGCUCAGAGAAUCAAAGAAGAGGAAACAGGGGCCUGACACUGACGGUGAUAAAAUCGAUGAUUCGCACGCAGCGAGGCUUCCGAGUGCAGCGACCCUCAGAGUCGCUGGACUUUGUGGUUCAGCUGAAAACAUGAAACCAGCUCCCAAGGGCCACGCCGGCUUGGAGACCAAGGCACCCGCACAACUUCGACACCAGGCGGCCCUCGGACCUCUGCGUGCCACCGCACCACUAUCACAGGAAAACGUGACGGAACGCCUAACAGGAAAAACGUGGACGGGCCCUCAUGCCGAGGGGAAGGGGGGGAGAACGAAAGCGAGACAAAAGGGGGGCAGAAGAAAGGGACGAGAGGAAGAGAAAAAAACUCCCCAAGCAGAACCAGAUGGGUUCAGUGUGGGGGACUGUUUGAUCUCCCCCGCUAAGGCCUGAUUGAUGUUGCACAUUUCAUUUCCUUGUCAGAGACAUGACAUAAUGUUUCAGUAACACUCUGCCUUUUUCCUCUUUCUUCUUUUUUUUCCUCCUCCAAUUAACCUCCCAAUUUCAGACUAAAGGCGGGACGCCGACAACCAGAAGGUAUGACAGCGAAAGCAAAUCGUGUUUAAAGAAACUGUAAACAUCCCUGAAUAGGAUGAGGCAGUGAAAGGGAUGCAGGGGCUUCAAAUGCUUCAAAACUGCAGGAUGAUGAUGCGGGGAAGCAUAGUUAAGUCGUACACAUUGUCUUACAAAAUGCAAAGCACGUGUCCAUGAAAGUGUGCACAAGGUUACAAAUACAAAAAUACAGGCAUUACAGUAUGCAGAAAAAAUGCAGAAAAUUCACGUGCAUGUGUAAUACUGUCCAUCCUUUGGGCCCCUAUAGAUUCAGGCCCCCGUGUCUUGUUUCAUGAUAGCUGGCCCUUACGUGAAUCAUGCGGCAUUACACGUUCUUGUGUUCCUCUAGGAAGCCAGCCUUGUACCAUUACGAUAGCCCGUAGAGAUUGAGACAAGGGAUCGUCCUCAUAACUACAUAAGGCAUCUUUGAUCUCAGAUUCGCUGGCGUUCUCCUUCAAGAGGAGGUCACUGUUUCUGAAAAGGAGGCAAAUUCAUCUUGUUCUUGGAGAGCUCUGGACCAGCAUGAAGCACAGCUUUGACUCACUCGCUGACUCAUCGGCUCGAAGGAUGAAUUCUUGUGCCGCUCAGAACUGUCUGUGUCUUCUUACGGUAUUUGAAACCGUGCAACGAUUCAAAAGAGACCUUGAAAACUGUUUUUUUUUUCCUCCUCAAGUGGAACACAUUCCCAAACAGUCCCAAAAUUAGCUUCCAAGGCUAACCACAGUGUCUAAAUAUUAGAAUCAGUUUAGGGCUGAAGGAGAAUGUCUAAAGGAUUUAAAUGUAAAGGAAAAUAAAUUAAUAUCACGAGACGCCUGAAAAGACGCAGGAUCAAUCAGUCGUGACAUUCGCACCAUAGAGACGGUAAGUGUCUUUAAUAUUGUGAUGGUUAUCAGCACUUCUUUAGGAGCAAAAGUAAAAACUGCACAGUGUAGCCAAGCUUCAAGUUGAUCCUUCGACUUCCAGUGCCCUAAUGCAGCGGUAAAACAAUGAAAGACUGAAGCCUAGAGUCAAGGCGUAGCCGGCAGCAGAAUGCCGGGUGAUUUGGCGAUUUGGCAAAGACCCCAGAGAGAAGCUCAGGAGGGCCGCUGCAGCUCAGGGUUUGAGGUGAUAUCGAAGUGCCCCUCUGUCCUCCAGAGCCCGUUUCCCCAAGGCGCUGGGGCACACUCCUCCAUCUGGCAUCCAUUUCCCCAAGUGAAAGAACACUUCCUUUGGGAUAAUUCAUUUUUGGGGGGGGGGGCCGAGAUGGGGGAAGGGAGCAUGCUUCAAGGAGGUGUUAGUGACAGUGGUUGGAGUUAUUUGGGGGGAGGGGGGUAAAGGCAAGGUAACAGGGAUCAUAGGUAGGGGUGCAGCAGAGCAGGGUCAGGGACUCAAGGUCACAUUGUGAAGCUCAAGCCCCCCGAGGCUGUAAAGACAAACAACAGGAGGGCAAAGACAAUUUUUAACAAGAAAAAUCACACAAGAUAUUGUUCUCAUGCAUGCCUGUCAUUAAUCCUGCAAACAAAAGGAUUUUUCCAUUACAGUGAUACUUGGCAUUUGUUAUGGAAUUAAUCCAUGCAUGUAAUACAACUUGAAUCUCAAGUUUUUAACUGAACAAUACACAGUUUUUUUUCCCUCUCUCAAAAUAUCCUGGAUUUUAGGGGUUUUAAACAUAAUUUUAGUAAAUGGUUUAAACAGCUCUGUUUCUUCCAAAUGAUUCCCAAUGUCCUUCCCUUUGGUUCA